rnacentral:rRNA from 1 species
CAGUAGCCGCGGGAAUACGAAGGGUGCAAGCGUUACUCGGAAUUACUGGGCGUAAAGCGUGCGUAGGUGGUGGUUUAAGUCCGUUGUGAAAGCCCUGGGCUCAACCUGGGAAUUGCAGUGGAUACUGGGUCACUAGAGUGUGGUAGAGGAUAGUGGAAUUUCCGGUGUAGCAGUGAAAUGCGUAGAGAUCGGAAGGAACAUCUGUGGCGAAGGCGACUAUCUGGGCCAACACUGACACUGAGGCACGAAAGCGUGGGGAGCAAACAGGAUUAGAUACCCGGGUAGUCCCUGUCUCUUAUAU